CAUGCAGUCGACGGCAGCACGGGGGCAACCCUGGUGGCGAGUGGCGAACGGGUGAGUAAUACAUCGGAACGUGUCCUGGAGUGGGGGAUAGCCCGGCGAAAGCCGGAUUAAUACCGCAUACGCUCUGAGGAGGAAAGCGGGGGAUCUUUCGGGACCUCGCGCUCAAGGGGCGGCCGAUGGCAGAUUAGCUAGUUGGUGGGGUAAAGGCCUACCAAGGCGACGAUCUGUAGCUGGUCUGAGAGGACGACCAGCCACACUGGGACUGAGACACGGCCCAGACUCCUACGGGAGGCAGCAGUGGGGAAUUUUGGACAAUGGGGGAAACCCUGAUCCAGCAAUGCCGCGUGUGUGAAGAAGGCCUUCGGGUUGUAAAGCACUUUUGUCCGGAAAGAAAACCUCUGGGUUAAUACCCUGGGGGGAUGACGGUACCGGAAGAAUAAGCACCGGCUAACUACGUGCCAGCAGCCGCGGUAAUACGUAGGGUGCAAGCGUUAAUCGGAAUUACUGGGCGUAAAGCGUGCGCAGGCGGUCCGCUAAGACAGAUGUGAAAUCCCCGGGCUUAACCUGGGAACUGCAUUUGUGACUGGCGGGCUAGAGUAUGGCAGAGGGGGGUAGAAUUCCACGUGUAGCAGUGAAAUGCGUAGAGAUGUGGAGGAAUACCGAUGGCGAAGGCAGCCCCCUGGGCCAAUACUGACGCUCAUGCACGAAAGCGUGGGGAGCAAACAGGAUUAGAUACCCUGGUAGUCCACGCCCUAAACGAUGUCAACUAGUUGUCGGGUCUUCAUUGACUUGGUAACGUAGCUAACGCGUGAAGUUGACCGCCUGGGGAGAACGGUCGCAAGAUUAAAACUCAAAGGAAUUGACGGGGAMCCGCMCAAGCGGUGGAUGAUGUGGAUUAAUUCGAUGCAACGCGAAAAACCUUACCUACCCUURACAUGUAUGGAAGUCGCCGAG
rnacentral:rRNA from 1 species